GGCAACCAGACAAGCUGGUAGUGGUGUGGACUCGCAGGAGCCGACGGAAAUCCUCCAAGGCUCACAGUUGGCAGCCAGGCAUCAAGAACCCCUACCGAGGAGUGGUGGUGUGGCCUGUACCGGAAAACAUAGAAAUCACUGUCACACUCUUCAAGGACCCCCACGCAGAGGAGUUUGAAGACAAGGAGUGGACGUUUGUCAUAGAAAAUGUGAGUACACAUUACCUCUCCCCUCACUUAUGCUGG